GACGCCGUGGUGGCAAUUUAGGGAUUUCACCCCUGCUUUAACUCAUUGUCGUUCUUGAACAUCAAUCGCCAUGGUUCAAUGCGACCUUUCGGUACCUGUCACUCGUCAGUUCCCAUCUCCCCUAUAACCUAAUGUUCGAUUCUUAAAGCUUCCAUCAAUGGCGAUGAAUCCCAUCUCCCCUCUGGCUUGUUUUUCGUUUCUUACCUCAAUCAACCAGAUCUUGUGAGAUGGAUAGAAUGUUCAAAAAUCUAGGGUUCAAUGUCAGAAUUGCAAGGUGAAAACGAAGAUUACAAUUGAUUUGAGAUCCUCCCACGAAGAUUCACAAAUAGAUUUGAUUACAAGACCCUAAAAUCGUUCAAGUUGGGGCCAUUUGGAAUCGCAUUGAUUUGACUUGCUGUAGUCAGAGUAGACUUUGAUCCAUUCAAGUGAUAAAACUGCUACUGGAUUUGCCAUGUAGACCAGACACCAAACUACCAGGGUUGGUGACGAUGGGCUUUAAGGAUGAAAAAUGUUGAGGUAAUCACAUGGUAAAACCGAUGGCGCACUACUCUUGGAGUGUACAUAUUUCAGUACUAAAAUCACAAGUUUACACAUUCUUAUAGUGGUUUAAUCCAUGUCUUUGACCGGUAUUGUUAUAGUUUGAAGCAAAGUUGGGUAAUCGGAGAUGAUACAAUAAAUGAAACUGCAUCUUUAUAAGUUUUUGUUUGUUGGUUGCAUGAUUAUUCUUUGUUUAGUUUAUUGUUUUAAUGUUUUUCUUGUUCAUGGUUUAUAAACUAUGCAAGCACUCCUUUAUAGUUUUAACUCUCUGUAACAAGU
rnacentral:lncRNA from 1 species